rnacentral:miRNA from 1 species
AUAGCAAUUGCUCUUUUGGAAG